rnacentral:rRNA from 1 species
GGGGGCUUCCCCUUGUGAGAGUCGGACAUCGCCACGC